rnacentral:precursor_RNA from 15 species
AGACUGAAGACAGAAUGUUAAACCCCCUGUACGUAUACUGAAUGUAUCCUGAGUGUUUUCUGUCCGGUAUACCUUCAGUAUACGUAACAGGAGGCCACAUUUCAACGGUCCGGCCUCA